GGGGGGGGGGGGGGGGGGGGCGGGUGGGGGCGGGUGGGGGGAAGAGGUGCGGGGCGUGCUCCUUUGACGUUGGCGGCGGGCGGGUGGGUAACACGUGGGUAACCUACCUAUAAGGCUGGGCUCACUUCGGGCAACCGGGGCUAAUACCGGAUAAUAUUUCGAACCGCAUGGUUCGAUAUGGACAGGUGGUUUUGCUCUCACUUAUAGAUGGACACGGGCCGGCAUAGCUCGUUGGUAAGGUAACGGCUUACCAAGGAGACGAUACGUAGCCGACGUGAGAGGGUGAUCGGCCACACUGGAACUGAGACACGGUCCAGACGCCUACGGGAGGCAGAAGUAGGGAAUCUGCCGCAAUGGGCGAAAGCCUGACGGAGCAACGCCGCGUGAGUGAUGAAGGUCUUCGGAUCGUAAAACGCUGUUAUUAGGGAAGAACAUACGUGUAAGUAACUGUGCACGUCUUGACGGUACCUAAUCAGAAAGCCACGGCUAACUACGUG
rnacentral:rRNA from 1 species